rnacentral:rRNA from 1 species
CCUACGGGUGGCAGCAGUGAGGAAUAUUGGUCAAUGGGCGCGAGCCUGAACCAGCCAAGUCGCGUGAGGGAAGACGGUCCUAUGGAUUGUAAACCUCUUUUGUCGGGGAGCAAAAGACGCCACGCGUGGCGUUCCGAGAGUACCCGAAGAAAAAGCAUCGGCUAACUCCGUGCCAGCAGCCGCGGUAAUACGGAGGAUGCGAGCGUUCUCCGGAUUUAUUGGGUGUAAGGGGUGCGCAGGCGGCAGAUCAAGUCAGCGGUAAAAUUGAGAGGCUCAACCUCUUCGAGCCGUUGAAACUGGUGUUCUUGAGUGAGCGAGAAGUAUGCGGAAUGCGUGGUGUAGCGGUGAAAUGCAUAGAUAUCACGCAGAACUCCGAUUGCGUAGGCAGCAUACCGGCGCUCAACUGACGCUCAUGCACGAAAGUGUGGGUAUCGAACAGGAUUAGAUACCCGAGUAGUC